GACAGCGGGGAUAGCAAGUUGAAUACACCCGUCCCCAACGGAUCACUGAAGUUAAGAAACAUUGCCCUUGGUUACUUCCGGGAUGGGUUACCGUCUGUGGGUGCUUGCUGGUGGCUUUUC
rfam:Asian citrus Psyllid, Diaphorina citri - Florida Strain, whole genome shotgun sequence.